CAUGAAAUCACGAGUCGGACGAAUCACUGGACUAGAUCCGGCGGCACCUUUAUAUUUAAAAUGGUCAUAUGAUGCAAUUCGAAUAACAGACGCCCCCUUUGUUGAUAUUAUACACACAAAUGGCGAACGGCUAGGAGAAUCAUGGGCAAGAGGUCAUGCUGACUUUUAUCCUAAUUUUGGUAUCGUGUCUCAGCCAGGAUGUGAGCAAAAAGACGUUUCAACAAUAU